AACGAACGCUGGCGGCAUGCCUAACACAUGCAAGUCGAACGAGACCUUCGGGUCUAGUGGCGCACGGGUGCGUAACGCGUGGGAACCUGCCCUUAGGUUCGGAAUAACUCCCCGAAAGGGGUGCUAAUACCGGAUAAUGUCUUCGGACCAAAGAUUUAUCGCCUUUGGAUGGGCCCGCGUUGGAUUAGCUAGUUGGUAGGGUAAAAGCCUACCAAGGCGACGAUCCAUAGCUGGUCUGAGAGGAUGAUCAGCCACACUGGGACUGAGACACGGCCCAGACUCCUACGGGAGGCAGCAGUGGGGAAUACUGGACGAGGGGCGAAAGCCUGAUCCAGCAAUGCCGCGGGAGUGAUGAAGGCCUUAGGGUUGUAAAGCUCUCUUACCCGGGAUGAUAAUGACAGUACCGGGAGAAUAAGCUCCGGCUAACUCCGUG
rnacentral:rRNA from 1 species